GUUUUAGUGGCGAACGGGUGAGUAACACGUAAGCAACCUACCUUUAAGACGAGAAUAACAAUUGGAAACAGUUGCUAAGGCUGGAUAGGAAAUGAAAAGGCAUCUUUUUAUUUUUAAAAGACCUUCUUCGGAGGGUAUGCUUAAAGAGGGGCUUGCGUCACAUUAGUUAGUUGGUAAGGUAAAGGCUUACCAAGACGAUGAUGUGUAGCUGGACUGAGAGGUUGAACAGCCACAUUGGGACUGAGACACGGCCCAAACUCCUACGGGAGGCAGCAGUAGGGAAUUUUCGGCAAUGGAGGAAACUCUGACCGAGCAACGCCGCGUGAAUGAUGAAGUACUUCGGUAUGUAAAAUUCUUUUAUUGAAGAAGAAAAAAUAGUGGAAAAACUAUAUUGACGUUAUUCAAUGAAUAAGCCCCGGCUAACUAUGUGCCAGCAGCCGCGGUAAUACAUAGGGGGCGAGCGUUAUCCGGAAUUAUUGGGCGUAAAGGGUGCGUAGGCGGUUUGAUAAGUCUCUAGUUUAAUUUCAGCGCUUAACGCUGUCCUGCUAGAGAAACUGUCUUACUAGAGUGAGAUAGAGGCAAGCGGAAUUCCAUGUGUAGCGGUAAAAUGUGUAAAUAUGUGGAGGAACACCAGAGGCGUAGGCGGCUUGCUGGGUCUUUACUGACGCUGAGGCACGAAAGCGUGGGGAGCAAACAGGAUUAGAUACCCUGGUAGUCCACGCCGUAAACGAUGAGUACUAAGUGUCGGGGCAACUCGGUACUGAAGUUAACACAUUAAGUACUCCGCCUGAGUAGUACGUACGCAAGUAUGAAACUUAAAGGAAUUGA
rnacentral:rRNA from 1 species